GGGGCUGUUUUUAGAUUCGCCCGGCGUACAGUAGGCAAGAUAAGCGUACCGCAGUGCAUCUGCGUCAUCAAGGCAAACCUAAAUUAAACGCUAACAAUAGCACAAGCCGUUCCUUCGGAAUGGCAUACGCUGCGUAGUUUAAACCCAGCGCGUGGACUUUGGCUCUGUUGCGAGGCCAAACGUCUGCGUCAGAUAUUCGCAAAUAGGUAACUUUCGGCUGACGCACCGAUAGUUACCGAAGUUCAAGGUGUCUUGACACGGCAAGUUUGUUUGCUUUCUUAGUCGUGUGACGGCAAAAGUAAACUGUGUACGGAGAAAGUUUUGUUGGCUUACGUUGGUACACGGGUGCAAGUCCCGUCAGCUCCACCA
rnacentral:tmRNA from 1 species